CGGGACGGGUGAGUAAUGUCUGGGAAACUGCCUGAUGGAGGGGGAUAACUACUGGAAACGGUAGCUAAUACCGCAUAACGUCGCAAGACCAAAGAGGGGACCGUUCGGGCCUCUUGCCAUCGGAUGUGCCCAGAUGGGAUUAGCUAGUAGGUGGGGUAACGGCUCACCUAGGCGACGAUCCCUAGCUGGUCUGAGAGGAUGACCAGCCACACUGGAACUGAGACACGGUCCAG
rnacentral:rRNA from 1 species